AGAAAUUUAGGUUAAUUAAACCAAGGACCUUCAAAGCCCUAAAAAAGAGUACAACCCCUUAAUUUCUG
rnacentral:tRNA from 3 species